UCAUAUUUCUCCUUUCU
rnacentral:miRNA from 1 species